UAUAAUAAUAUCAACAAUAGGGUGGAGCACGGUUGUAUGGGAAAAAAAUUUUUUUUAGUUUCGAAGUUCUAAUAGGGGGGGAUUUGUGCCUUAUAUGAAAGUAUAAAUAACUGUAAUUUUUUAUCCCAUUUAAUGAAUAUCUUCUGCCUCCGCAGUGACUUCAAAAUUUUAAAAUUUUAUUUAAAGUUGAAAGUCGUCUAAGGUGAAAUAUUGCGCACUAUUUAUUAGUAAGAAGGUAUUAAAUGACAGAUAAUUUAUAGAUUAGAUAUUUACUAAGGUAAUAUAACAAGAAAUACAUACAAGAAUUAGAUAAAUUACUUUAAUUAUUAUGCUUGAAAAUCCUUUUUUGAUCAAAAUUUAGGCAUCACGUUUCGCGAUUCCAACUUGACUUUUAUUGCACCUUAUUAGUGACUUUCUGGAUGCAGUGAGAAAUAGAAUCUUUGAUCGUAAUCUUCACAGGUCUCUCAACAGCUUGAGUGAGGUAGAGAAGCCUUAAAACAAAGGUUUGCUCUCACCACCAGAUUUGACAAUGUGCUGAAUUUCUUAGUCAAAUAAAUAUCUCAAAAGCGGCUGUUUGGUUAAGUAAAUUAAAUAAAUAUAU